GCCCCGUUCGUCUAGUGGCCCAGGACACCCGCCUCUCACGUGAACAACAGGGGUCCGAGUCCCAUACGGGGCGCCA
rnacentral:tRNA from 1 species